AGUGGCAGAGUGAUGGAGGGAAGGGGUGACUAGUGACAGAGUGAGGGGAUGACUGGUGACAGAGUGAGGGGGUGACUAGUGACAGAGUAAGGGGGUCACUAGUGACAGAGUGAGGGAGAGGGUGACAGUCACUAAUUACCCCCUCACUCACUCUGUCCCUAGUCACCCCCUCCCUCACUCUGUCACUAGUCACCCCUUCCCUCCUUCUGUCACUAGUCACCCCUUCCCUCCCUCUAUCACUAGUCACACCCUCCCUCUUUCACUAGUCACCUCUUCCCUCACUCUGUCACUAGUCACACCCUCCCUCCCUCUGUCACUAGUUGCUCCUUCCCUCUCUGUC